GAAACUGAUUCUGCAUUCUGAGCUCCUUAAUAUGAUUUUUUAGGUCACAGUGUUCUAGGCAAAGCUCCCUGUUGAUGUACAUCUCUCAUGCAAGAUUUAGAUCACCUCUUUUCGGGCAGAGCUCCAUGGAAACACCGCCCAUGAUUUCUGAAAUGGAGUCUGAUUGGGUCCCCGUAAUGCCCGGCUGGAGUGGACAGCAAUCUCUGCAGUUGACACAUUGCUGGACAGUUGGCAAGCCUGAGACUACCAGAACCUACUCCUUGAAUGUGACAUGCUGGCUCUUUGGUACAGAAGAAAGAACACAAGAGAUAAAGGGUACAAGUGGAGAUUGUCAUCAUGCCUGAUAAUUGGGGGUCAUGAAAGCCCAGAAGAUUCAGAUCUGCUUCUUGUCAGAAUAAGCGGAGAAGCUUCCUGUUCAGGAAUGAGGUGCAUUUGGAUUGGAUGGGUAGCAUGCAGAUGCUUGAAGCUCGCUGAGGAGUGAGGAGACGUGAAGCAGAGUGCACAGACACUGGACGAGACCAGUGAGCAGCUGAGCAGGAGAACUACAACACAAGGCAUAACUGAGUCCCAGUUAAAGGGAAGAGAUUGUUUU
rnacentral:lncRNA from 1 species